UUGGGUCUGUAAUUGAAGACGUGGCGACCAUGUCGAAUCAGAGCAAGUGGGUUUUGAUGAGAGGCGAAAAGGGCGAUGGAACCGCAGGUUGUGAUGAAUUUGGUGAGGAGAUUGACAUUUGUUUCGAGGGAGUGUCGGAGCAUGAAGGAGUGUAUUUUGAGAAGCGAGGGUGUUGUUUUCGUUUGUUGGAGAAGGUGUAAGCAUUUUCUUUCUAAUGAGCUCCAUCUCCAUACUUGCUCUCUCAUCAUACAACUUUCUCAGUUUUGCUUCCCUG
rnacentral:lncRNA from 1 species